rnacentral:rRNA from 1 species
UAAGCGUAGACGGUGGAUGCCUUGGCAGUCAGAGGCGAUGAAGGACGUAUUAACUUGCGAUAAGCCCAGAUAAGGCAGUAAAAGCCAUUUGAGUCUGGGAUUUCCGAAUGGGGAAACCCACCUGCAUAAGCAGGUAUCUUARCGUGAAUACAUAGCGCUAAGAGGCGAACUCGGGGAACUGAAACAUCUAAGUACCCGAAGGAAAAGAAAUCAAUUGAGAUUCCGGCAGUAGCGGCGAGCGAACCCGGAGCAGCCCUUAAGCGGCUUAGGCGUUAGGUGAACAGGUUGGAAAACCUGGCAAUAAAGGGUGAUAGCCCCGUAACCGACAGCGCCUUAGUCGUGAAAWYGAGUAGGACGGGACACGUGAUAUCUUGUCUGAACAUGGGGGGACCAUCCUCCAAGGCUAAAUACUCCUGACUGACCGAUAGUGAACCAGUACCGUGAGGGAAAGGCGAAAAGAACCCCUGUGAGGGGAGUGAAAUAGAACCUGAAACCGUCUACGUACAAGCAGUGGGAGCCUCCAUGUGGGGUGACCGCGUACCUUUNGAGUAGGACGGGACACGUGAUAUCUUGUCUGAACAUGGGGGGACCAUCCUCCAAGGCUAAAUACUCCUGACUGACCGAUAGUGAACCAGUACCGUGAGGGAAAGGCGAAAAGAACCCCUGUGAGGGGAGUGAAAUAGAACCUGAAACCGUCUACGUACAAGCAGUGGGAGCCUCCWWGUGGGGUGACCGCGUACCUUUUGUAUAAUGGGUCAGCGACUUAAUGUUAGUAGCAAGGUUAACCGCAUAGGGGAGCCGUAGGGAAACCGAGUCUUAACUGGGCGURYAGUUGCUAGCAUUAGACCCGAAACCGAGUGAUCUAGCCAUGGGCAGGUUGAAGGUUGAGUAACAUCAACUGGAGGACCGAACUCACUAACGUUGAAAAGUUAGGAGAUGACCUGUGGCUAGGGGUGAAAGGCCAAUCAAACUCGGAGAUAGCUGGUUCUCCCCGAAAGCUAUUUAGGUAGCGCCUCGGACGAAUACUACUGGGGGUAGAGCACUGUUAAGGCUAGGGGGUCAUCCCGACUUACCAACCCUUUGCAAACUCCGAAUACCAGUAAGUACUAUCCGGGAGACACACGGCGGGUGCUAACGUCCGUCGUGGAGAGGGAAACAACCCAGACCGCCAGCUAAGGUCCCAAAGUUAUCGCUAAGUGGGAAACGAUGUGGGAAGGCUCAGACAGCCAGGAUGUUGGCUUAGAAGCAGCCAUCAUUUAAAGAAAGCGUAAUAGCUCACUGGUCGAGUCGGCCUGCGCGGAAGAUGUAACGGGGCUAAGCGAUACACCGAAGCUGCGGCAAUGUCCUUAUGGAUAUUGGGUAGGGGAGCGUUGUGUAAGCYGUUGAAGGUGUGCUGAGAGGCAUGCUGGAGGUAUCACAAGUGCGAAUGCUGACAUGAGUAACGAUAAAGGGGGUGAAAAACCUCCUCGCCGGAAGACCAAGGGUUCCUGUCCAACGUUAAUCGGGGCAGGGUAAGUCGGCCCCUAAGGCGAGGCCGAAAGGCGUAGUCGAUGGGAAACGGGUUAAUAUUCCCGUACUGCUGCUUACUGCGAUGGGGGGACGGAGAAGGCUAGGUGGGCCUGGCGAUGGUWGUCCAGGUUCAAGUGCGUAGGCUGAUUUCUUAGGCAAAUCCGGGAAAUYAAGGCCGAGACACGAUGUCGAGCCACCAAGGUGGUGAAGUCAUUGAUGCCAUGCUUCCGGGAAAAGCCUCUAAGCUUCAGGUAAGUAGCAACCGUACUCCAAACCGACACAGGUGGUCGGGUAGAGAAUACCAAGGCGCUUGAGAGAACUCGGGUGAAGGAACUAGGCAAAAUGGUACCGUAACUUCGGGAGAAGGUACGCUGCCCGCGGUGAAGUCCCUUGCGGAUGGAGCUAUGGGCAGUCGCAGAUACCAGGUGGCUGCAACUGUUUAUUAAAAACACAGCACUGUGCAAAAUCGAAAGAUGACGUAUACGGUGUGACGCCUGCCCGGUGCCGGAAGGUUAAUUGAUGUGGUUAUCGCAAGAGAAGCCAUUGAUCGAAGCCCCGGUAAACGGCGGCCGUAACUAUAACGGUCCUAAGGUAGCGAAAUUCCUUGUCGGGUAAGUUCCGACCUGCACGAAUGGCGUAAUGAUGGCCACGCUGUCUCCACCCGAGACUCAGUGAAAUUGAAAUCGCAGUGAAGAUGCUGUGUACCCGCGGCUAGACGGAAAGACCCCGUGAACCUUUACUACAGCUUGGCACUGAACAUUGAGCCUACAUGUGUAGGAUAGGUGGGAGGCUUUGAAGCGGCGACGCCAGUUGCUGUGGAGCCAUCCUUGAAAUACCACCCUUGUAUGUUUGAUGUUCUAACUUAGCCCCGUUAUCCGGGGUGAGGACAGUGCCUGGUGGGUAGUUUGACUGGGGCGGUCUCCUCCCAAAGAGUAACGGAGGAGCACGAAGGUGGGCUAAUCACGGUCGGACAUCGUGAGGUUAGUGCAAUGGCAUAAGCCCGCUUAACUGCGAGAGUGACGGCUCGAGCAGGUACGAAAGUAGGUCAUAGUGAUCCGGUGGUUCUGAAUGGAAGGGCCAUCGCUCAACGGAUAAAAGGUACUCCGGGGAUAACAGGCUGAUACCGCCCAAGAGUUCAUAUCGACGGCGGUGUUUGGCACCUCGAUGUCGGCUCAUCACAUCCUGGGGCUGAAGUCGGUCCCAAGGGUAUGGCUGUUCGCCAUUUAAAGUGGUACGCGAGCUGGGUUUAGAACGUCGUGAGACAGUUCGGUCCCUAUCUGCCGUGGGCGUUGGAUGAUUGAGGGGAGCUGCUCCUAGUACGAGAGGACCGGAGUGGACGAACCGCUGGUGUUCGGGUUGUGUCGCCAGACGCAUUGCCCGGUAGCUAAGUUCGGCACAGAUAAGCGCUGAAAGCAUCUAAGCGCGAAGCUGGCCCCGAGAUGAGUCAUCCCUAGAGCUUCGAGCUCUCUAAAGGGUUGUCGUAGACKACGACGUUGAUAGGCAGGGUGUGUAAGCGCUGUGAGGCGUUGAGCUAACCUGUACUAAUUGCCCGUGAGGCUUAACCAUACAACACCCAAG